rnacentral:ncRNA from 3 species
AGAGGUUCGUGAACUCCCUCUAUAAAAAACUA